rnacentral:rRNA from 1 species
GAUGAACGCUGGCGGCGUGCCUAAUACAUGCAAGUCGAGCGAACGGAUAAGGAGCUCGCUCCUUUGAAGUUAGCGGCGGACGGGUGAGUAACACGUGGGUAACCUACCUAUAAGACUGGAAUAACUUCGGGGAACCGGAGCUAAUGCCGGAUAACAUUUGGAACCGCACGGCUCUAAAGUAAAAGAUGGUUUUGCUAUCACUUAUAGAUGGACCCGCGCCGUAUUAGCUAGUUGGUAAGGUAACGGCUUACCAAGGCGACGAUCGGUAGCCGGACUGAGAGGUUGAACGGCCACAUUGGGACUGAGACACGGCCCAG